rnacentral:rRNA from 1 species
GACGAACGCUGGCGGCGUGCCUAAUACAUGCGAGUAGAACGCUGAAGGAGGAGCUUGCUUCUCUGGAUGAGUUGCGAACGGGUGAGUAACGCGUAGGUAACCUGCCUGGUAGCGGGGGAUAACUAUUGGAAACGAUAGCUAAUACCGCAUAAGAGUAGAUGUUGCAUGACAUUUGCUUAAAAGGUGCAAUUGCAUCACUACCAGAUGGACCUGCGUUGUAUUAGCUAGUUGGUGGGGUAACGGCUCACCAAGGCGACGAUACAUAGCCGACCUGAGAGGGGGAUCGGCCACACUGGGACUGAGACACGGCCCAGACUCCUACGGGAGGCAGCAGUAGGGAAUCUUCGGCAAUGGACGGAAGUCUGACCGAGCAACGCCGCGUGAGUGAAGAAGGUUUUCGGAUCGUAAAGCUCUGUUGUAAGAGAAGAACGAGUGUGAGAGUGGAAAGUUCACACUGUGACGGUAUCUUACCAGAAAGGGACGGCUAACUACGUG